rnacentral:rRNA from 1 species
UACAGAGAGUGCAAGCGUUAUUCGGAUUCACUGGGCGUAAAGGGUGCGCAGGCGGUUGGGGGGGUCAGAUGUGAAAUCCCGAGGCUUAACCUCGGAACUGCGUCUGAAACUACUCGACUAGAGUACUGGAGAGGGUAACGGAAUUCACGGUGUAGCAGUGAAAUGCGUAGAUAUCGUGAGGAACACCAGAGGCGAAGGCGGUUACCUGGACAGUUACUGACGCUCAGGCACGAAAGCAUGGGGAGCAAAAGGG